rnacentral:rRNA from 1 species
GACGAACCGUGCGAACGUUGUUCGGAUUCACUGGGCAUAAAGGGCGCGUAGGCGGACGGUCAAGUCGGGGGUGAAAUCUUUCAGCUUAACUGGAAAAGUGCCUCCGAUACUGAUCGUCUCGAGGGAGGUAGGGGCAUGUGGAACUUCCGGUGGAGCGGUGAAAUGCGUAGAUAUCGGAAGGAACGCCGGUGGCGAAAGCGACGUGCUGGACCUCUUCUGACGCUGAGGCGCGAAAGCUAGGGGAGCAAUCGGG